rnacentral:rRNA from 1 species
AUUGAACGCUGGCGGCAGGCCUAACACGUGCAAGUCGAGCGGAUGAAGAGAGCUUGCUCUCUGAUUCAGCGGCGGACGGGUGAGUAAUGCCUAGGAAUCUGCCUGGUAGUGGGGGACAACGUUUCGAAAGGAACGCUAAUACCGCAUACGUCCUACGGGAGAAAGUGGGGGAUCUUCGGACCUCGCGCUAACAGAUGAGCCUAGGUCGGAUUAGCUAGUUGGUGGGGUAAUGGCCCACCAAGGCGACGAUCCGUAACUGGUCUGAGAGGAUGAUCAGUCACACUGGAACUGAGACACGGUCCAGACUCCUACGGGAGGCAGCAGUGGGGAAUAUUGGACAAUGGGCGAAAGCCUGAUCAGCCAUGCCGCGUGUGUGAAGAAGGUCUUCGGAUUGUAAAGCACUUUAAGUCGGGAGGAAGGGCUGUAGGCUAAUACCUUGCAGUUUUGACGUUACCGACAGAAUAAGCACCGGCUAACUUCGUGCCAGCCGCCGCAGUAAAAC